rnacentral:rRNA from 1 species
GACGAACGCUGGCGGCGUGCUUAACACAUGCAAGUCACGGGGGCCCAGCAAUGGGUAACCGGCGAACGGGUGCGUAACACGUGAGCAACCUGCCGAUCUGAGGGGGAUAGCCGGCCCAACGGCCGGGUAAUACCGCAUACGGUUUCUAUGGGACAUCCUGUGGGAACGAAACCUCCGGGGCAGAUCGAGGGGCUCGCGGCCUAUCAGCUAGUUGGUGGGGUAACGGCCCACCAAGGCGACGACGGGUAGCNGGUCUGAGAGGAUGGCCAGCCACAUUGGGACUGAGAGACGGCCCAGACUCCUACGGGAGGCAGCAGUGGGGAAUCUUGCGCAAUGGCCGAAAGGCUGACGCAGCGACGCCGCGUGUGGGAUGAAGCAUUUCGGUGUGUAAACCACUGUUGCCCGGGACGAACACC